rnacentral:lncRNA from 1 species
UUCCGUCUGAGGGGAGCCCCCACCUCAGGGGUCUUGGGAGGCCCAGCUCUCUCCUCCCUGUAGAAGCCAAAUGGAUCCGUAGCUUCACGUGCCAGCAGCCCUUGCAGCCCAGGCCCAGGUCUAGUGGUAGCUAUCUAAACAUACAAAGGAAAGCAAAAGAAAAGACGCAGAGGAAAAGCAAAGCAGAGGGGCUGCGGAGGCCUCCCUGGUGGCUGUAGGUCGCAGGGAGGCGGGUUUCCAUGGCAGCAGUGACAGGUCUGCGUGCAGGAUGCUGGACGGCUUGGGGAGCUGCCUGGGCGCCCGUGAGCUCUUGGCUUAAUCCCGUGUUAACGCUCUCGAUGAGACCCGGGACAUUUCGCUAAGCCCUCCAGCCCCUUCUCGGACUAGCGCGAGAACCUAACCGUUGCCAGCCCUGCUCCGAGCGAUCCGCUGUGUUUCUCUUCUUGCCGAUCUUAUUGCUCCCAGCCUUCUGUAGGCCCCAUCCUCUCUGCGCCCCGUUCCUCAGGGGCCACAGCACCUGCUAGAGCAGGCCCCUCCCCCGAGCAAGCCCCGCCCUGGCAGUGGGUCCGCGCAGACCGCCCCUCCCUGCGGGCGGCCGGUGGCCGUUUCAUUCACUAGGCGGUGCGGGCGGAGGAUCCGUGGUCUGAGGGCUCGUCGGGGGCCUGUGGAAAUACAAGUCCUGAAGAAGAAUCAGAAUUAAAAGGGGAAAACCUAAAUUAGAUACCAUAAACCGUACCAUCCUGUUAAACUCAUUGUUAGUUUCAUAGCUAUUUCAUAACACGUCAGAAUUCUUCUACACUUGAAAAUAACGCGUAGGUUAGAAUCUUCACCUCACAAGAAAUUCUGCACACGCAAGAGGAUUGGCUAAGAUUGAGCCAAGUGUAAAUUAAGUGACUUACCCUCACCAAAUAAUUCCAAAAGCAAAACUGUACAGUUUCCAGAUCUCACUUUAGAGACCGCCUGCCCCGCUGGCGGCGUGUGCACUUCGGCACCUGAUGCGCGGGGCGGAGCCUCUCUGAGGCGGGGCGCCUGGACCCUGGGCAGAGCGCGCGCCGUGGGCCCCGGCUUUGGGGCGGGGACCUUGUCCUACAGACCCCAGCCCAGGGAGGCCUUGCGCGCGACAAGGUUUGAGGUCUGCGAGGCUGUCCCCAGUCGCCAGUCGCCACUUUCACCCGGCGGCAGGGCCUGCCAGUCGUUGCCAGGAUCCGUUCCCGGGAAUUGUGCCGCCGUCCCUCCCCGCCUCCCGCCUCCUGUGCACAGACGCCUCUCGGGCCCAGGUUCCAGCCAGGUGACCGCGAGGAGCAGCGGCUGUCCCAGCUCCAAGGCGCGGGUUUUACGGGACUUUGGCUGUCUCGCACUUCCUCUCUCUCCCCUUCCUUGUGACAGGAACCCGGACAAGCCUCGGGUCCUGCAGGUGGACGUGGCGUCCCAGAGGGUGGUGACGUAGGAGCCUCGGUUCUUUGACAAGCUCAGGGAGCAGGACCGUCCACCCGCCUCCAACUGCCUGCUUCCCCCUCCGCCGGUUACUGAGGGAGCACUGCGGGCCUCUCUCUAAGCCGUUUGGGCAUCUGUGAUGCAUCGUGGCGUUACAGCGCCUGAGCCUGAGCUCUGGCAGAAACAGAGCUGCCUUGCCUUUGUGCCGCGAGGAUUCGCCUGGGCUUCCUGGGAGCUGCGGCACUGCUGGCCUCCAGCGGACCAAGACGUGCCGAGGCCAAGCCCAGCAGGCGGGGAGGGACCCGGGCUCUCUCCGUGCCUGGUCCAGGCCACCACAGCCGCAGCAGCCCCCAGCCUGAGGACGAGGCCUGGUGCUGGGGCUCGGCUCCCCAUUUCUUCCAGCGAGUCGCAGGCGGUGCCUCUGUGGCUUUUUUGGUUUAUUAAUGGGCCUAGUGAAGCAUUCCUCUCUCCUGUGUGAGGUGUCUCUCUGCGUAACCAAGCAGUUGAUGAGACGGUUAACUUAACAACGCACAGCAUAAGAGUUGUGAGUUUAGGUUGCAGCUCAGGAGGCAGCCUCGGCUCCAGAGAGGAGGGAUAAACAGCCUUACAUCUCGCCUGUAAGCCUGACACGCAUCUUGGUAAGAGGUUACGCUGGUCGCAAAGAACCAGUAUUCCAAGCCAGUGGCUUCAGUGGCUUUCUCUGUGUGGACAGAUGCAAGAAUGUGGGUUCGUGCAGUUCUCCCUGAGGCACACGCUUAACUGUGUAGGUUUUUCCGAAGCACAGAGGGCCCCGUCCUGACGCUCAUCCUGCCUCCUCCCAGGGGCGAGCUCCCGGCGCGGCGGAGGGCCUCACCGGCGAACCGGGCGGUGAGCGAGGCUCUUGGUGCUUCUUUGUUUGCAAAGAAGGGUCUCUUUCAGACGUACUGCAGCUAAUAGCAGAAGGGUUGCUAGACUGGGGCACCGCCAGGGAGUGAAUGAAUCCCGGCAGUGACCACCCAAGGCCGCCCAUAGCGCAAGGAGAAAGUCGUCCAGACGCCGCGAGUCUGAUACGCAACAUCACCUAUGGGGCGCCGCCAAACGAGGUCUGAAUGUGAUCCAGUCUGGAGGUCUGACUGCCAAGUCAGCUCUAGCUCCCAAGUGAGGGGACCUGCCCGGAACAGAGGAGCAUUUUAAGGGACACCCCGAGGAGACAAUCGGCAAAAUCUGGUUUGUGAGCAACAGUAGGUCCGGUUUCCGCAACAAGUAUAUCGCAAGGGGGCUAAACAUGAGAUGGACGGGAAACCUACAGGCUAAGGAGACUUAAAAAACCGUAUAAGCCAAUCGUGAAGUAUGAAACUUACUUGCAUCCUGGUUUAAAGAAACUAAAAAUAUCAUGAGAGGGUUGGGAAAAGAUGAGCAGUCGGUCACAGGACACUUGAUGGUAUUAAGAACUUAUUGUCUGCAGUUCCCUGCAUGGCUCAGUGGUUUAAAGACUCCGACUAGGAACCAUGGGGUUGCGGGUUCGAUCCCUGGCCUCGGUCAGUGGGUUAAGGAUCCGACGUUGCCGUGAGCUGUGGUGUAGGUCGCAGACGCAGCUUGGAUCCCGAGUUGCUGUGGCUGUGGCGGCGGCCGGUGGCUACAGCUCCGAUUCGACCCCUGUCCUGGGAACCUUCACAUGCCGUGGGUUCGGCCCUAGAAAAAGACAAAAAGACCAAAAAAAAAAAAUUUUAUUAUCUUCAAUAUUAUUUUUACUUUAUGUUUAAUUUUCAUGUUUCUUUUAGGUGUGAUCAAGAUUUGUAAUAGUAGGAGUUCCCGUCGUGGCGCAGUGGUUAACGAAUCCGACUAGGAACCAUGAGGUUGCGGGUUCAAUUCCUGCCCUUGCUCAGUGGGUUAACGAUCCGGCGUUGCCGUGAGCUGUGGUGUAGGUUGCAGACGCGGCUCGGAUCCUGCGUUGCUGUGGCUCUGGCGUAGGCCGGUGGCUACAGCUCCGAUUGGACCCCUAGCCUGGGAACCUCCAUAUGCCGCGGGAGCAGCCCAAGAAAUAGCAACAACAACAACAACAAAGAGACAAAAAAAAAAAAAAAAAAAAAAAAAAAAAAA